CCCCCCUGCUCCAGCUCGAAGACCCACACUCCAUCGGCACACAAGUAAAAGGGGUGGCAGGCGUUGGUGCUCACACUCGCCUCCCAACUUCCGGCCAACGGCACCACACGGCUACCACUCGUAACGCGUGGCCCCGCGUGCGACCGUCGGGUGUGCCACCGCGGCGUGCAGGUCUGCGCCGGUCCCACACCGGUCAUCCAGCGGAGCCGGGCGUGGCCGCGGCCACCGGCCUCGCGGCUCCACCUCUGCCGUCGGCGCGGCGCGCGUGCUGCUCGGGCUCUCGUUCGCAUUGCGACGGGCCGCGCGCGCGCGCGAUCUUCCGGAUCGCUCGGGCGGGUCAAGCACCGGAGAGACGGCGCCAGAACGCCGUUCGCGCGGUCUGGAGCGAGCGAGCAAGCACCGCAGGCGUCCAUUUGCCUUUUCCGGCAUGUCCGGCCUAGGAGAGGAGGAUGUUGCCCGACUUAGUGUUACCGUGACGAGAGAGCAUGAUCCUUCAAGACCCGGCUAACACUACCGAGCCUCGACCGGGUCUCGGGGGAAGGUCCGCUGGAGCUAUCUUUUUAGGGGUACGGAGCAGGAGAGGGCACGUUGGCGUUGUCUGUUCCGUGCGGCGCAUUCGAAAGGGGCGACGUUUUCGAGUGGCACGGCGUAUUUGUUGACUGGAGCGUCCGCUUUUUCUUUCGCGCACGCAUGCGGGAGGAGUGGGCCCCGCAGCUGUCGCUCCGGCGGCUGGAGGGGCCCCCCUUUAUAGGGCCAGCUGGUGCCGGUGACAUCUGCGUAGCGUAGUGCUCCCGAGCGGUGCGCCGGUCGGUUGAACCGCGCGAAAGGCGCGCCUCCGCCGCCAGUUACCGGCGGGCCAGGGCGGGCCGACCGCGUUUCGCUGCGGCCGUUGGACGUUAUUCUAUUCGCCGAUGAACAAGCUGGGAAGGUCUUGGUAGCGGGGGGAGGCCCGGAAGGUCUUGCGAGGGGGCGGUGCAGUGUCCUAUUCGGGGAGCCUACCAAGGUUAGGAAGGUCUUGGCAGAGCUAGAAAGCCUUAACCUUCGGGCCCACCCCAACCAUGCCCGACAUAUUUACCCGCCACUGGCACGCGGAGAAGACUGCUCGAGCGAGUUCGCGGAGUUCAUGCUUCGGAUCUCCCUAUCAUGACAUGAAAGGAGAGGGAAGAAGAGGCAGACGCCAGACCAGACCAGACGAGACGAAGAAGAGAGAGGCAGGAACAACGAAGAGAGAAGAACAUGAGAGGCUAAAAUGUAAACCGGAGGAGGUUGGGAGGAGAACGUCGACGAAGACCCGCAGUUACCCCUCGAGACGGUAAAAUCCUCUUCGCCUCUAGGGGACUUAACCAGUUAGUCGUAACAAUCAAGUCUGCUAACGAGUUUGAAACUGAUGAUGUCUAAGAAAAGGGGAAAUAAAACGUUGCUGGAAACCCAUCGGGCAUUAACUAACGAUCAGAACACCAAGACUUAAAACAAAAACCAUAAGACUAAGUCUUUGAAAGCCCAAACGAAGAAACCUCAGACCCCCCGCUGUAAAAAAAAGAUCGUUUCUAGCGGAAGCCAAUUAAAACCGGCCAAGAACUAAGAAAGACCUGGAGCAAAAGGAACCAGGCUAGCUAAUGGCCACGAGUCAUUAGGGGAGACAGGUUAAAAAGAGAUCUCAAACAAACCAGCAAACUAGUACCUAGGGAAAGUGCCGUAACACUUUCUCCUCCUUAAGCUGAAGCGGCCUCGACGUCGCCUACCGAUGAGCGGCAGAAGGACCCCGAGUAGGGGCAGAAGGACCCCGAGAAGGGUUAGAAGGACCCGGCCGCCGCCGCGGAACCGUCUCGACGGCGCCGGCUACCUGCCGGAGCCGCUCCGCCCGGGGUGCGGGAAGGACUUGUUCUGCAUGCUCCACCACCUGCUGGUGUCGUGCCUGUGGUAGCACAGCACCCCGCAGCGGCCCUUGUCGAAGCACCACACCCUGCGGGUGCGGAAGAGGUACCACGAGGAGGGGGCGAUGAAGUUCGUGACGUUGAAGAGGUCGAAGCAGGCGGUCGAGUUGUGGAUACCCAAGUCCUUCCAACUAGGCCUGUCCACCCUCAAGCGCCGCCUCCCCAAGGACGCCCCGGUCUUCCUCGACGACUUCUGCUAGUCCGCGGCCGCCGGAGUCAGCAGCGGCAGACCGUGCGGCCGCGACGACGUCGUCGUCGUCGUCCCGGUCGUCCCCCGCACGGACCUCCACCCCGUAAAGCCCGGGCUCCCGCUCCACGUCGCCGACGUCGCGCUGUUCCCGUGGGACUAGCGCCUCCACCACUUCGACGCCGUCCUCGUCGUCCGCUGCGCUCGCGUCUACGUCCUCUACCUCCGCGCGGAGCGGCGGUGCCUCGUCUUCGUCGUCGUCUACUGCCACAAGGACCGCGCGCGGUACUUCUCGGGGUCGAAGGAGGUCUACGACCACGUCGCCGUCCUGGUCUCGGCCGCCUUCCUCGAGCGCCUCCGCGAGGAGAGGUUCUUCGCGCCGGCGGGGUAGCUCAUGGAGGAGGGGGCGUUGCCGCUCUGGUCGUCGCGGCGUUCGAUGUCGCGGCGCCGCGCUCCGAUGCCGGGACCAGAGCGGCUGCCGUCACUGCCGUCCGCGCGCCUGCCGCUCCUGUGCCUCUCGAAGACCUUCCUCGACGACUCGGACCCGGACCUCCUCUCCGUAGCCCUCCGACCGCCCCCGCCGCCCCUCCGCUCGCCGCGGCUCCACCUGCUGCUGCACCUGCUACUCCACCUGCUCGACCACGUCUCGGAGAUGGUGGAGUCGGGCUUGGCCGGGGUGUCGGUGGUCACUUCCUUCUUGUCUUCUGUCUUCCAAGAUCUCGCUCUUUAUAGACGACGGCGAACCUCUUGUUGCAUCCCGGCGUCGGACUGUUCACUGUUGGGGUCGUCACUCGCUUUCUUCUAUUCUUCCAAGAUCUUGUUCUUCAAAGGCGACCUCUUGCAGCUUGCAGCACCCCAUCUGGCAUCCGCAUCACCACCACCACCAUCGCCAUCACGACGGAGGUACGGGGGUACCCGCAACCCCCGACCAGACGAAACAAGUAAAAGAUAACGAUCAACAUCAUGGACUGUACAACAGCCCCGGGGCGCCGGACGUACGCGUUCAACGGGCUUUGUCUUUCCCCGGUCGCGGAAAACGGACCGCACCACCUUAUUACGAGGCUCCGAAAUGGCCUAAUUCAUGAGGUUCAACCUGCAUCUAGCUAGGUAGGUAGGACCAAGCAAGGGCUGGCUGCUCCGGUACCUUCCCCGUUUCCGUUUCGCUCACGAUCAUCUAUGAGGGAGGCAAAAUUUUAUCUACUAAGUUGAAAUAUGAUGAUUGAAAUGUUUCAAUCAUAUUUCAACCCAGUAGAUAAAACCUUACCUCUCUCAUCUAACGUCGUCUUCAAUGUGCUUCGAUCACCUCGAGCGAGCCGC
rnacentral:rRNA from 1 species